rnacentral:rRNA from 1 species
UACAUUGCAUUCAUGGGCAGAUGGUGGAUGCCUUGGGAUGUCAGGGCGAUGAAGGACGUAGCGUGCCUGCGAUAAGCUUCGGGGAGGUGGUGAGCAACCUUUGAUCCGGAGAUUUCCGAAUGGGGAAACCCGGCGUCGUGAAAGCGGCGUCACUCUGAGCAAUCGGAGAGCGAACCUGGUGAAGUGAAACAUCUCAGUAACCAGAGGAAAAGAGAACGAAUGUUUAUUCCCUUAGUAGCGGCGAGCGAAACGGGAAGAGCCCAAACCAUAUCUUUACCUUCGGGUAAAGAUAUGGGGUUGUAAGGAAAUAGUGUUGGGAGUAUUCCUGGUGCACAGGAAUGCUUCCUGGGAGAGUAAAAAGGCAGAGGUUGGUUAGAAGAAGUCCCUGGAAAGGGACGCCAAAGAGGGUAACAGCCCCGUAUUCGAAAACUCCUUUGUGCUCCUUGCUAUUUUACUUGAGUACCUCGGGGUCAAGAUAACCCCGUGGGAAGCGGCCCGGACUACCGGGCAAGGCUAAAUACCUGACAUCACCGAUAGUGAACCAGUACCGUGAGGGAAAGGUGAAAAGUAGGGGGGUAACCCCGGUGAAAUAGAACCUGAAACCAUCAUGCCUACAACGAGUCGGAGCCCCGCAAGGGGUGACGGCGUGCUUUUUGCAGAACGAGCCAACGAGUUUCGUUUGUCAGUCGCCGAAGUGCUUACGGCAUCAAGGCAUAGGGAAACCGAGUCCGAAAUGGGCGACCAAAGAUUGGCGGACGAAGACCCGAAGCCAAGCGAGCUUGCCAUGGCCAGGGUGAACUGCGCAGAAAUGCUCAGGGAGGCCCGAACCCGUAGAUCGUUCAACGUCUUGGGAUGAGCUGUGGUAAGAAGUGAAAAGCUAAUCGAGCUUGGUAAUAGCUGGUUCUCCCCGAAAUAGCUUUAGGGCUAGCGUCUGUUGCAGAUUCCGGAGGUAGAGCACUGAAAAGACUACUCUUGGGGCAACCCAGGUAUUCUUAUCAAACUUCGAAUGCCGGAAUUAUAGGACAGGCAGUCAGAAUGUGGGGGCUAAGCUCCAUGUUCAAAAGGGAAACAGCCCAGACCUUCAUCUAAGGUCCCUAAAUGAGACUAAGUGCUAAGCAAGGAAGUGAGACUCCUCAGAUAGCUAGGAGGUUAGCUUAGAAGCAGCUACCCUUUAAAAAGUGCGUAACAGCUUACUAGCUAAGGGGUCUUGCGCCGAAGAUUUACGGGGCUAAGUUUCAUACCGAAGAUAAGGAUGCGGCACCUUCGGGUGCUGCGUGGUAGGGGAGCGUCUCCAUCGCGCUGAAGUCGGAUCGUGAGGUCCGGUGGAGCGUUGGGGAGUGAGAAUGUUGGCAUGAGUAACCGCAAUGCAGGUGAGAGCCCUGCACACCGAAAACCCAAGGUUUCCUUGGCACCGAUGUUCGACCAAGGGUUAGGCGGGCCUUAGUUAUGCGCCGAAGGGCGUAUCGCGAUGGACAGCAGGUUAAUAUUCCUGCCCCUCGCUGCGUGCUCUUUUGGAGGGACGAAGAGUAGUAUUCCUCGCAGAUUAUCGGAUUUCUGUCAGUAGGGUGAGGAGUAAUCCAAGCUCAGCUGAAAUGAUCCCUCUCGGGGGGUCAGAUGAGGAGGAGCACUCUUCCCGGAAAAGCUCCAAAAGUUUGAGCGCAGUGGGUCCGUACCGCAAACCGACACAGGUGGGUUGGCGCUAAUAUGCUAAGGUGAACGGGUGAAAGCUCCUGAAGGAACUCGGCAAAUCAGUGGUCGUAACUUCGGGAUAAGACCUCCCAGCAGCAAUGCUGGGCGCAGCGACUGUCUCUCAAUCGACUGUUUACCAAAAACACAGGUCCCUGCUAACUCGCAAGAGGAUGUAUAGGGGCUGACGCCUGACCAGUGCUGGAGUGUUAACGUUGCCGGUCUUCUGUCUUCGGAUGGUUGGCUGAGUGACCGAAGCCCCAGUGAACGUCCGCGGUAACUAUAACCGUGUUAAAGUAGGAAAUCUGCUUUAGUAAAAUCUGGCUAUAUGCUGGAAAAUCUGGAGUAUCCGGUACUACUCUGAUAGAAUGGAGGUAAGGUAAAGAUAACCCUUAUCACCAUGUCGAGUAAAAAUGUAUCCGGUGCAGACAAUCAGCAGGAAAGGCUCAGGCGCAUAGGGUGGAUCGUCGGGUAUGUGGAUGGCGAAGGAUGCUUCACUGUAAGUUUCUUCAAACAUCCAAAGUCCCGACUGAGGUUAAAGUGGCAGGUGUUCCCGGAAUUCGUCAUCACUCAGGGGAGUAAAAGCAAAUCCUCUCUUGAGAAAGUUCAGAAGUUCUUUGAGUGUGGGUCAAUUUAUCUCAACAAGAGAUACGACAACCACCAUGAACAUCUGAUGAAGUACGUAGUUCGGAAUCGCCAAGAUCUUCUAACCAAGAUUAUUCCAUUCUUUGAGGAAUUUUCUCUCGAGACGGCGAAGCGAAAUGACUUUCGCAUCUUCGCUCGAAUUGUCCGAAUGAUGGACAAGGGAGAGCAUCUGACGGAGCGAGGACUCGAAAAGAUUCGAGGAUUCACGAGCCAGAUGAACACGAGGAAAUUCCGCGCAUGAGAAUCCUCAGAGACUAUACGCCAGACUCUGUGAAAGCAGAGAAGAUAUAGUCCGAACUCCAUGGCGACAUGGAGAGCAGGGCAGAAAUGCUCUGCCGCCAAGCUUCCUUCCAAGAAGCGGGGUAUGAAAGUAACACAUUGAGCGUAAUCCCUUGCCUGGUAAGUUCAGGCCCGCAUGAAUGGCGUAACGAGUUGAGAACUGUCUCCAGGAGUUGCCCGGUGAAAAUGCAAUACCGGUAAAGAUGCCGGUUACCUGCGGCUAGACGGAAAGACCCCGGGAGCUUUACUGUAGCUUCUUAUUGCCUUAUUUUCGCGCUUGCGUAGCGUAGCGGGUAGGCUUUGAAACCGUGAUUUCGGUUGCGGUGGAGCCGUCAAUGAAACACCCGUCUUUCGUGAGGGUAAGGCUAAUCCCAGCAAUGGGUGACAGUUGGAGGUGGUCAGUUUUAGUGGGGCGCUAGCCUCCCAAAAAGUAACGGAGGCGUUUCAAGGUUGGCUAUCCGCCAAUGGAAACGGUGGAGGUCGUGUAAAGGCAUAAGCCAGCUUUACUGCGAGACGGAUGUGUCAAGCAGUUGGGAAACCAGAACUUAGUGAACCGAUGCGUUGUUGUAGAAAACGCAGAGAUUAUCAGACAAAAGCUACCCCGGGGAUAACAGGCUGGUAGGGCCCGCGAGUCCAUAUCUACGGCCCUGUUCGGCACCUCGAUGUCGGCUCAUCUUAUCCUGGGGCUGGAGAAGGUCCCAAGGGUUUGGCUGUUCGCCAAUUAAAAAGGUACGCGAGCUGGGUUCAGACCGUCAACGAAAAGAACCUAAGACAUCGAGAGCAAAACGGCGGCUUGUCGUCGCGAGGCGGCAAGAAAAGCGACUCAUAUCGGUGAAUGCCUAGUGUGUCAUGCAACCUGGACGCACGUAGGUUAAUACCGAGGGAAGUCAUCUCAAAAGAGAUUGACCCCGUAGAGACUUGAUCCAUCAUGGAUCGGAUAUGGGUGUGAAACCCCAUAUAACACGUCGCCCUCAACAAAAGGUUGAGGAUGGUAUAGUCCAUGCAUUUGGUAACAAGUGAAUUCAUUGCGUAAGACAGGUUGGUCCCUAUCUACCGCAGGCGUUGAGUCUUGAGGAGACUUGCUCCUAGUACGAGAGGACCGGAGUGAACUAACCUCUGGUGUACCAGUUGUCCUGCCAAGGGCAUAGCUGGGUAGCUACGUUGGGCAAGGAUAAGUACUGAAGGCAUCUAAGUACGAAGCCUACUCUAAGAUUAAGACUCAUAGAUUCCUCGAAGAACACGAGGCCGAUAGGCUCCAGGUGGAAGUGCGGUAACGCAUGAAGCCGAGGAGUACUAAUAUCGAGCAAUGAACU